rnacentral:rRNA from 1 species
GACGUAGGGCGCGAGCGUUGUCCGGAUUUAUUGGGCGUAAAGAGCUCGUAGGCGGCUUGUCGCGUCGUCCGUGAAAACUUGGGGCUCAACCCCAAGCUUGCGGUCGAUACGGGCAGACUGGAGGUAUGCAGGGGAGAACGGAAUUCCUGGUGUAGCGGUGAAAUGCGCAGAUAUCAGGAGGAACACCGGUGGCGAAGGCGGUUCUCUGGGCAUGUCCUGACGCUGAGGAGCGAAAGUGUGGGGAGCGAACAGG